rnacentral:rRNA from 1 species
UCUCAGUACAGACUGACUUAAAGUGAAACCGCAAAAGGCUCAGUAAAAAAGCUUAAUUUACUAGAGUAAACUUUACUGUGCUUGGAUAACUGUGGUAAUUCUAGAGCUAAUACAUGCUAACAGACCCCCGGCCAUUUAUGGUAGGGGCGCUUUUAUUGGUCCAAGACCAUUCGCCCGGUGCGCCGGGCGUCUCCUUGAUGAAACCAAAUAACAAAUCAGAUCGCAUGGUCCUCGUACCGGCGACUUAUCUUUCAAAUGCCUGACUUAUCAACUGACGAUGGUAGACUCUGUGUCUACCAUGGCUCCUACGGGUAACGGGGAAUCAGGGUUCGAUUCCGGAGAGGGAGCCUGAGAAACGGCUACCACAUCCAAGGAAGGCAGCAGGCACGCAAAUUACCCACUCCCGGCACGGGGAGGUAGUGACAAAAAAUAACGAUACGGGACUCGAUAUGAGGCCCCGUAAUCGGAAUGAGUACACUUUAAACCCUUAUUCAAAUAUCAAUUGGAGGGAAAGUUCUGGUGCCAGCAGCCGCGGUAAUUCCAGCUCCAAUAGCGUAUAUUAAAGUUGUUGCGGUUAAAAAGCUCGUAGUUGGUUCUGCGUCCCACGCUGUCGGUACACCUUUUGUUGGUGACACUGGCAUGCCGUGGUAUGUCCUGUCGGUGGCGGCCUUUGGUAUACCUAGCGCGUCGGAUAAAACCGUCGUGUUAAGGUCUACCGGUCGCCGGCUACUAUCCUACCGCGGUGCUCUUCAUUGAGUGUCGAGGUAGGCCGACACGUUUACUUUGAACAAAUUUGAGUGCUUAAAGCAGGCAAAAAUCUCUGCCUGAAUAGUGGUGCAUGGAAUAAUGGAACAGGCCCUUGGUUCUAUUUUGUUGGUCUUCGGAACACAAGGAAAUGAUCAAUGUGGACAGGCGGGGGCAUUCGUAUUGCGGCGUUAGAGGUGAAAUUCUUGGAUCGUCUCAAGACGCACUAGAGCGAAAGCAUUUGCCAAGUAUGUCUUAAUUGAUCAAGAACGAAAGUAUAAUUGAUCAAGAACGAAAGUUAGAUGCGCGAAGGCGAUCAGAUACCGCCCUAGUUCUAACCAUAAACGAUGCCAGCCAGCGAUCCGCCGAUGUUCCUCCGAUGACUCGGCGGGGAGCUUCAUUCGGGAAACCAAAGCUUUUGGGUUCCGGGGGAAGUAUGGUUGCAAAGCUGAAACUUAAAGGAAUUGACGGAAGGGCACCACAAGGAGUGGAGCCUGCGGCUUAAUUUGACUCAACACGGGAAACCUCACCAGGUCAAGACAUUGGAAUGAUUGACAGAUUGAUAGCUCUUUCUUGAUUCAGUGGGUAGUGGUGCAUGGCCGUUCUUAGUUGGUGGAUCGAUUUGUCUGGUUAAUUCCGAUAACGAACGAGACUCUAGCCAAUUAACUAGACGUUUCCGGUAUCGAAGCUACCGGCGAUAUAUAAUCUUCUUAGGGGGACAGGCGGCUCUCAGCCGCACGAGAUUGAGCAAUAACAGGUCUGUGAUGCCCUUAGAUGUCCUGGGCCGCACGCGCGCUACACUGAAGGAAUCAGCCUGUUCGUUCCCUUGGCCGAAAGGCCCGGGUAACCCGCUGAACCUCCUUCGUGCUAGGAAUUGGGGCUUGCAAUUGUUCCCCAUGAACGAGGAAUUCCUAGUAAGCGCGAGUCAUAAGCUCGCGUUGAUUACGUCCCUGCCCUUUGUACACACCGCCCGUCGCUACUACUGAUUGAAUGAUUUAGUGAGGUCUUCGGACCGGCGGUAAGCCCAACCGGCUCCGGCCGGUUUUGUCGAACGCUGGAAAGAUGACCAAACUUGAUCAUUUAGAGGAAGUAAAAGUCGU